rnacentral:rRNA from 1 species
CCCUUAGAUGUUCUGGGCCGCACGCGUGCUACACUGAGUGGAUCAGCGGGUCAGGUUGCGCGAAAGCGUUUCCUAAUCUUUAAAUCCGCUCGUGAUGGGGAUUGACGGUUGCAAUUUUCUGUCAUGAACGAGGAAUACCUUGUAAGCGCGGGUCAUCAUCCCGCGCUGAAUACGUCCCUGCCCUUGGUACACACCGCCCGUCGCUCCUACCGAUUGAGUGGUCCGGUGAGGCUUUGGGAUCUGAGCGGAAAGAGCGUUUCGCUGUUUCUGCUCGGAAAACUCAGUCGAACCUUAUCAUUUAGAGGAAGGAGAAGUCGUAACA